GACGUAGGGCGCGAGCGUUGUCCGGAUUUAUUGGGCGUAAAGAGCUCGUAGGCGGCUUGUCGCGUCGAAUGUGAAAUCUCAGGGCUCAACUCUGACAUUGCAUUCGAUACGGGCUGGCUGGAGUGUGGUAGGGGAGAUCGGAAUUCCUGGUGUAGCGGUGAAAUGCGCAGAUAUCAGGAGGAACACCGGUGGCGAAGGCGGAUCUCUGGGCCAUUACUGACGCUGAGGAGCGAAAGCGUGGGGAGCGAACAGG
rnacentral:rRNA from 1 species